ACGGGGGGGGCAAGCGGUGGACGGAAUGAGAAGGCGUAAAGGGCAGGUAGGCGGAUCAGUAAGUCGGACGUUUAAUCCUCGGUCUUAAGCUGAGACAUGCGUUUGAUACUGUUGAUCUAGAAUGCGGCGGGGGAAGACGGAAUUCCGGGUGUAGCGGUGGAAUGCGCAGGUAUCCGGAGGAACACCGAAGGCGAAGGCAGUCUUCCAUACCGUAAUUGACGCUGAACUGCGAAGGUGUGGGGAUCAAACAG
rnacentral:rRNA from 1 species